UACGGAGGGUGCAAGCGUUAUCCGGAAUCACUGGGUGUAAAGGGUGCGUAGGCGGCCUGUUAAGUCAGAAGUGAAAGGCCACAGCUUAACUGUGGGAUUGCUUUUGAUACUGGCGGGCUUGGAUUAGGACGAGGUUGGCGGAAUGUGGCAAGUAGCGGUGAAAUGCAUAGAUAUGCCAUAGAAUACCGAUUGCGAAGGCAGCUGACUAGACCUAUAUUGACGCUGAGGCACGAAAGCGUGGGGAGCGAACAGG
rnacentral:rRNA from 1 species